CCUUUGAUGUCAGCUUUUCUUGUCACCACAAAACAGAAUUCAGCAAGUGUUGGUCGGUUUACCCACUAACAAUGAACCUGAGCUGGGUUUAGACUGCCGUGAAACAAGUU
rnacentral:ncRNA from 1 species